UACGAAGGGGGCUAGCGUUGUUCGGAAUUACUGGGCGUAAAGCGCACGUAGGCGGCUUUGUAAGUUAGAGGUGAAAGCCCGGAGCUCAACUUCGGAAUUGCCUUUAAGACUGCAUCGCUUGAAUCAUGGAGAGGUCAGUGGAAUUCCGAGUGUAGAGGUGAAAUUCGUAGAUAUUCGGAAGAACACCAGUGGCGAAGGCGACUGACUGGACAUGUAUUGACGCUGAGGUGCGAAAGCGUGGGGAGCAAACAGG
rnacentral:rRNA from 1 species